rnacentral:lncRNA from 14 species
UGGAAUCCCACGUUGCCCGGCAACCUUGGAAUGUUUCACCCUGUGGUCCAGUGCUUGACAACACCACCCACAACAGUGUUUCCCCUUGCAGCCAUGGAAGAGCAAGUUCUUCACGCAAGGUCCCUGAGGAGCACUUCUCCAUGCAGCCCCUGCAGAGUGCAUCACCUUGCAGCCACAGAGCAGUGCUUCAGCUCAGCAACCUGCAGCAGUGCUUCACUGCACGGCCCCGAGGACUGCAGCAGCACUGGGGGUUUUGGGAGACACUCACCAAUCUUUUGGCUGUUUGUUUGGGUGUUUCCAGAGCCAUUCACCAGGGGGGUUUUGUAGCUCUGCAUGUGGCAGCGUUUUGGAAGCUUUCACCCUGGAUCCUUUUAUGGAGCUUUCCACCCUGGGCAUUUUUGGAGCACUUCAGCAUCUUCUUUAGCCCUAUUUUUUUUUUGUGGUUUUUGUUUGGUGUGUUUUGUUUGUUUGUUUGUUUUUUUAACUGGAAUUCUUGGAAUGUUUUUUGUUUUGGUUUGGUUUUGGGUUUUUUUUCCCAACAUUUGUGUUUUGGGAGCUACUCCCUAUCUUUUGGCAGCCCUGGCCCUGGGAUUUCUGGGAGCGCUGCAGCAGGGAGAGCUUUGCAGUUCGGUGUUUUUUUUUCCUUCUUUUGGUUUUGGUUGGUCUUUUUUGAGUCUUCAUCAUUUGGGUUUUUCUCUGGAAUUCCACAAUUCCAGGCAAUUUUGGGAAGUUUUGGAUUUUUGAGUGCUGUUCAGCCUUGGGUUGUUUUGCUGCUCUCCAUGUGGCAGCAUUUUGGGAGCUCCCAUCCUGGAGUCUUUAUAGGGAUCUUUCCACACAGGACAUUUUUGGAGACCUUCAACUUCUGUUCUUUGUUUUAUUAGCUUGGAUUAUUUAUCUUAAUUUUUUUGUGCUUUGGUUCGUUUUUAACUUUAAUUCUACAUUUUUUUCUCUUUUGUUUUCUUUUGCUUUCUUUCCUGGAAAUUCCCAUGCCUGGCAUUACCUGAGGGCUUCCCCACAAGGCCUUGAGGUGCUGCAUCAGAACGUGGCCUUAAGGAGUUUAACAGCAUUUGGUUUUUUGGGUGCUUUUCACUCUGUUUUGGCAGCUCUGACCCUGGGCAUGUUUGGGUGCUCUGUGGCCUGGAGAUCUCUGCAGGGCUGCUACUUUUUUCUUGAGGCUUUGAUUUUAUUUUAUUUUCUGUGUGUGUGGGUUUGGUUUGGGUCUGGGUUUUAUUUAUUUAUUUUUUAUACUCUCGAAUUCUACAAUUUGUUCUGUUUUGUUUUCUGGAACUUACCAUUCUUGGCAUUUCUGGAGUGCUUCCCCACAAGGCCUGGAUGUGCUGCAUCCGCACAUGGCCUCAAGCAGUUCAUCAGCGUUUGGUUUUUUCGGUGCUUCUCACUAUUCUGUGUUAGCUCUGAUCCCAGGGAUUUUUGGGAGCUCUGCAGCCAGGAGAGCUUUGCAGGGAGUCACUUUUUCCCCUUUUGUUGUAGCAAUCUUCAUCCUUUGGGAUUUUUCUCUGGAAUUCCACAAUUCCAGGCAAUUUUGGAAAGGUUUUGAUUUUUGAGUGCUGUUCAGCCUUGGGUUGUUUUGUCGCUCCCCAUGCGGCAGCAUUUUGGGAGCUCCCAUCCUGGAGUCUUUUUUAAGGAUCUUUCCACCCAGGGCAGUUUUGGAGCACUUCAACUUCUUUUUCUGUUUUAUUCACUUGGAUUAUUUAUUAUAUUUUUUUUGUGCUUUGGUUCAUUUUUAACUUUCAUUCUACAUUUUUUCUCUNNNNNNNNNNNNNNNNNNNNAUUUUCCCCCCUGGAACUCUGCAACACCAGCAACUUGGGAAUGCUUCCCUGUGCAGCCUCAGAGGAGGACAUCAGGACAUGGCUCUCCAAGAC